AGGACGAACGCUGGCGGCGUGCUUAACACAUGCAAGUCGAGCGGAAAGGCCCUUCGGGGUACUCGAGCGGCGAACGGGUGAGUAACACGUGAGUAACCUGCCCUAGGCUUUGGGAUAACCCUCGGAAACGGGGCUAAUACCGGAUAUUCAUUCUUGGCGGCAUCGUCGGGUGUGGAAAGUUUUUCGGCCUGGGAUGGGCUCGCGGCCUAUCAGCUUGUUGGUGGGGUGAUGGCCUACCAAGGCGACGACGGGUAG
rnacentral:rRNA from 1 species